rnacentral:lncRNA from 1 species
UUUUUUUUCCUCUAAAGCCACACUAAAUAAAGACACAUUAAGAAACAAUAGUUUAAAGUGAUAAUUUCAGGCAAAGACACACAUGUUUACUCAGCAUUGAAGUGUAUAUUCAGAGACUGUCACGUAGGACAAAUUUGAUCUGUGUGUCAUAUUUUUAGAUGAGCUCAAAACCCUUUUCUUUGGGUAUGUAAGUUAAGUGAGCGCGAUGAAAAGUUCAGAUUUUCUGUGACUUUUCACAGAAACUGUGCCCAUGUAGUUUUUCCAUAGACUUCAAAGCACUCUGCUGUUUAGCUUUUACUUUGCCCUAAAAGGCAUUUUCCUACACUACAACUUUGCUUUUAAUUGCAAUGUGAGUGCAAGAUAACAAUGAAUCUCAUUAAGUUUGAGAUUUUGAUGAGCAAAACAGUACAGAAAAAAGAAUCUACAAAGAAUGAUUCAUACCCUUCUAUCCUCAAAACUCACCAUCAUGUCUUAGUCCAUACAAUAUAUUUUUAGUACAUUUCUUUUUAUGUACAAUCAACAUUUCUUUACUUGCAAGCUUAUGUGUUGCUUACAAAAGCUUGCUUUUGUUCUGUUAUUGCUAAGUUUUCCUAUCUGUGAAAAUUGUUUGGAUAUCGUAUGUUAAAAUGGAGUACAUCAUGAUCUUGCUCAUUCAACUGAAGAGCUUUUUUUAAAAUUUAACAACCUGUCACUUAGUAGCAUAGUUUUCAGGAAAAAAUUAAAAUUGUUCAGUGAAAGAUAAGUGUAUAAAUCUAAGUUAAAAAAAUAAAUAAAUAAAAUAAAUCUAAGUUAGACCUUAGAACAUUCUUUCAAGUAAGCCAGGAAAAUAGAGAAUUCAGCUACAUAUAAAGAAGAGAAGGAGUGGGAGAAAUCUUAAGGAAGUCAGAUUGGUUCAGGCACAUAUAUAAAGAAUGAAUAUUUUUUAAAAAAGAGAAAGGAAAAUUUUAUCAUUUUUCCCAAGGGUAUAAUUUCAGAGUUUCAAGUAAUGAAUACCAUUGAAAACCAACUUUCCAAAGAUAAUUUUAAAAAGCAAUAUAGUAAGUGAUUGCAUUGUGAAGACUUUAAAAAGUGUACAAAUAUAGAAUGAAAAGCAGAGGGAGGGCAGCCCAAGUGGCUCAACGGUUUAGCACCACCUUCGGCCCAGGGCAUGAUCCUGGAGACCGGGGAUCAAGUCCCACUUCAGGUUCCCAGCAUGGAGCCUGCUUCUCCCUCUGCCUGUGUCUCUGCCUCUCUCGAUCUCUCUCUCUCUCUCUCUCUCUCUCUCUCUCUCUCUCUCCGCCUCUCAUGAGUAAAUAAAUAAAAUCUUAAAAAAAAAAAAAAAAGCAGAGGGAGAAGACUGUCCUAAUGUCCAAAUAUUACAUAAGUGGGUAUUCAUGACAGCAUAUUUCCAGGAACAGAAUCAUACACAGAUUCCACUUUUAGGCUGAUAUCCCAGCUUAGUGGGAAGUGAAGAUGAUUUUCUCUGGUAAACAAUAGUUGGCUCAAAAAGUAGUUAUAAAAAUUAUCAAGCCAUUGAUGGUGAACAUACAUAUGAAUAGUUUGAAAACACUUUUUAAAGAAAAUAUGAGUUUCUUUUUCAAUUCAAGAUGAUAAGCUUCUCCAGAAUAGAUAUCGGGCCAAACUUUCCUACAAGCACAUUGCAGCAAUUAGCAAUUAUUGAAAUAAAUUGUAUUAGCAUGUAAAGACAUCAUGAACUCAAAGCAGACAGAAUGGACUCGAUUACUUUUUUGCUAUCAUGUAUGAAGUGAUAACUGACAUGCCAUCAAUAGGGUGUGAUGUCUAGUUAGGCAGAAGAGAAAAGAGAUGACUGGUCCAUAUUGGACUUAAACCCAUGAUCUUGGCCUCUAUAACACAGUGAUCCAACCAACUGAGCUCACGGCCAUAUGCCCAUCUUUACACUUGGCAGAAGAAACACCACGAUGAGGUGCCUUUUUUGUGUGUGCAAUCACGAUUAGUAGGGCAUUCCUUCCAACAAUGAGGAAUCUUCCUAUCUGAUUUUUCACACUUCUUGCUGACAAUAAAAGCUAAUCACUAGUUGCAGUAAUAAGGAUGACAACUAAAGUCUCAUUACUCAAACUAUGUUUCUAUAUUUUGGUGAGAUUAUCACCAUUUUUAUGCCCAUGUGAAAGAAUCUUAACGAAACCCAUUGUUUGUCAUCUUUGAAAAAAGAUGGAAGAUACUAUGAAGCUACUCAAAAGUUAAAGAAUUGCUACCCUCUCAUUCAGGCUUUCCUUCAAAGUGAAGAAAGGGACCAGAAAGCUGUUAAUAGCAAAAGAAACUAAGAAACUUGUUUAACAUACUCACAUAUUCAACUCACUCAUCUUUCCUUCUUUCCAAAUAAAAUAACUUUUCUGGCUAUGUUUUUCAGGAGGAAAAGAAGUUGGAAAUAACGUUAUUAUUCAGUUCCACGAACUGGGCUUCUUGGAAUCCAAUGCUGGAAAAGACCUUAAAAAUAAUCAAGUCCCACUUCAUAGUGAGAACACAGAGGUUCAGGAUUACACAGUGAGUGGCAGAGCCACUUAGAAAUAUCUAGCUAGAAUCCAUCACAUUGUGUAAAGACAAUAAAUUAAAGAACUUUAAACACAACUCUAUCUUUGGAAUUGAGGUAGGUGAUUAAAGACAAGAAUUUCCUAACUUAUUCUAUUUUAAAAUUUUAAUUACUUUAUUUCACUUUCAGGCUCUAAAUAUUUACUGAUUAAUUAGGAUAGAAUAGGCUACUGGCUGAAUCCAGAAUAUUUACAAUAGGGAAGAUAUUUUAGGACAGCUAUUUAGGCAUCAUUUAGGCACACUGAAAGCAAACACCAAGCGUAAAAAUACUCUCUGCAGGAUAGGAAUCCCUGGCACCCAUCCUGUCCUGGAGCCAUACUUCCCCUCUGAGACUCUAGCAGGUGAGACUCAGGAAAAAAAAGUAUGGGAUGAACUGACCACAGUGAAUGGGGUUGGGUCAGGCUGUUUGUAGUAAGGAAACAGUAUUUUCUAGACAUUAUAAAAUCAGUCAGGGGCAGCCCCGGUGGCUCAGCGGUUUAGUGCCACCUUUAGCCCAGGGUGUGAUCCUGGAGUCCGGGCCGAGUCCCACGUUGGGCUCCCUGCAUGGAGCCUGCUUCUCCCUCUGCCUUCUCUGCUUUCUUUGAUACAUCAUGCAUAAUACUUCGAGAUUCACAUUCACAAUUGUGAUUUCAUCAAUCUCUUUUUUAAUAGCACUCAGUGUUCCCAUCCUGUGCAUUAUCAGAUCAAACCCUCUCAGCCUGACCUUGCAACCUUGGCCUCGCCCUCCCUGGCAGCCUUACCACUGAAGGAGAAUUCACCUUACUCCAAAAACAGGCCACCUUCCCCAGCUCCAUGCCUCAUUCUACUCAGACUCUCUCCUUAAUCUGAGGGUCGUUCCCUUCCUCUGUAUCUGCUCUGUGUCCUGGUUGGUCAUACUCACAGCUGCUCUAUGAGGCUCCUAAGGUAGCAUUCGUUUCUCUGCUCUCCUCUGUCCCCAUGCUGCUGCCCUCUUGUACCGUUAUCAUGGAUCUUACUUCAGUGGGUUGGGAAUUAUUAUUCCUUCUGAAUAGGUCUCUCUCUUGCCAUAUUGCCAUUGCCCCCAGAAGCAGGCACUGUUCUUUCCUUUUCUCAUCCCUUAGAGCAUGAAACAUGGCAUCUGGCAUAUAGCAAAUCCCCUUUUAUCCUGUUAAUUGGAUUGAAUUUUAUGCCACCAUUUUCCCCAAAUUUCCAAAAUCCAAAAAGGUAGGUGGCAAGGUUAAGUGGCUUCCUCCUUACUCCCCUUCUACUAUGAGAAGAGCUCCAAAACCCAUCUUCCAUUUGCUCACUUUAUUUAUUUUUUUUUGCUCUUUACUGUUUUGCCUCUCCUCUCUUCCUUUUCCCUCUUCCCCUUUUCCUCCUUGAACUCAAGAACUGUUGUUUAGUGGCAGAACAAUAAUUUUCCUGCUUU